UACAGAGGGGGCAAGCGUUGUUCGGAAUUACUGGGCGUAAAGGGCGCGUAGGCGGCCACCGCAAGUCGGUUGUGAAAUCUCCGGGCUUAACCCGGAAAGGUCAAUCGAUACUGCGGGGCUAGAGUGCAGAAGGGGCAACUGGAAUUCUCGGUGUAGCGGUGAAAUGCGUAGAUAUCGAGAGGAACACCUGCGGCGAAGGCGGGUUGCUGGGCUGACACUGACGCUGAAGCGCGAAAGCUAGGGGAGCGAACGGG
rnacentral:rRNA from 1 species